rnacentral:rRNA from 1 species
CGUUGGGCGCUAGAUGUGGGUCACAUUCCACGUGAUCCGUGUCGCAGCUAACGCAUUAAGCGCCCCGCCUGGGGAGUACGGCCGCAAGGCUAAAACUCAAAGGAAUUGACGGGGGCCCGCACAAGCGGCGGAGCAUGCGGAUUAAUUCGAUGCAACGCGAAGAACCUUACCAAGGCUUGACAUAUACAGGAAAACUGCAGAAAUGUAGUCCCCCGCAAGGGUCUGUAUACAGGUGGUGCAUGGUUGUCGUCAGCUCGUGUCGUGAGAUGUUGGGUUAAGUCCCGCAACGAGCGCAACCCUCGUCCUAUGUUGCCAGCACGUUAUGGUGGGAACUCAUGGGAGACUGCCGGGGUCAACUCGGAGGAAGGUGGGGAUGACGUCAAAUCAUCAUGCCCCUUAUGUCUUGGGCUUCACGCAUGCUACAAUGGCCGGUACAAAGGGCUGCAAUACCGCAAGGUGGAGCGAAUCCCAAAAAGCCGGUCUCAGUUCGGAUUGAGGUCUGCAACUCGACCUCAUGAAGUCGGAGUCGCUAGUAAUCGCAGAUCAGCAACGCUGCGGUGAAUACGUUCCCGGGCCUUGUACA